rnacentral:rRNA from 1 species
UACGAGGGAUCCUAGCGUUGUUCGGAAUCAUUGGGCGUAAAGGGUGCGUAGGUGGCCAUACAAGUCAGUUGUGAAAGCCCCGGGCUCAACCCGGGAAGUGCUUCUGAGACUGUUUGGCUUGAGUACUAGAGAGGCGAGUAGAAUUCCAGGUGUAGUGGUGAAAUACGUAGAUAUCUGGAGGAAUACCGGUGGCGAAGGCGGCUCACUGGCUAAGUACUGACACUGAAGCACGAAAGCAUGGGGAUCAAACAAG